UAAUGAGUGUGCGAGCGUUAAUCGGAUUUACUGGGCGUAAAGCGUGAGUAGGCGGCUUUUUAAGUCGGAUGUGAAAUCCCCGAGCUUAUCUUGGGAAUUGCAUUCGAUACUGGGAAGCUAGAGUAUGGGCGAGGAUGGUAGAAUUCCAGGUGUAGCGGUGAAAUGCGUAGAGAUCUGGAGGAAUACCGAUGGCGAAGGAAGCCAUCUGGCCUAAUACUGACGCUGAGGUACGAAAGCAUGGGGAGUAAACAGG
rnacentral:misc_RNA from 1 species